rnacentral:rRNA from 1 species
UACGUAGGCAGCAAGCGUUGUUCGGAGUUACUGGGCGUAAAGGGUGCGUAGGCGGCUUUUUAAGUCUGGUGUGAAAUCUCCCGGCUCAACUGGGAGGGUGCGCCGGAUACUGAGGGGCUAGAGUGUGGGAGAGGAAAGUGGAAUUCCUGGUGUAGCGGUGAAAUGCGUAGAUAUCAGGAGGAACACCGGUGGUGUAAACGGCUUUCUGGACCAUAACUGACGCUGAGGCACGAAGGCCAGGGGAGCAAACGGG